rnacentral:lncRNA from 10 species
CGGACUCAGCCCGCCUGCACCCAGGUGAAAUAAACAGCCUUGUUGCUCACACAAAGCCUGUUUGGUGGUCUCUUCACACAAACGCGCAUGAAAUUUGGUGCCAUGACUCGGAUCGGGGUACCUCCCUUGGGAGAUCAAUCCCCAGUCCUCCUGCUCUUUGCUCCGUGAGAAAGAUCUACCUAGGACCUCAGGUCCUCAGACUGACCAGCCCAAGGAACAUCUCACCAAUUUCAAAUCUGGAACGCGCAUGAAAAAACCAAACAAACAAAAAAAUUUCUUUUGGUAGCAGAAUAAAAAAACAAAAAAAAGGACUUUUUCUUCUGGACUGAACUAUAUUUAAAUCUCAAAGGAUGGACAUCUCACAACCUUCCUACAGCAAGUACUGUGAGAGCUGCAUCUUGUCCCACUGGAUGGUCUUCAGAGACAAUAAUACAUAAUGGAGCUGUCAUCUCCUAUGAUAACAAUGCCUUCUUCUGGAUACCUCCUGAAGGACCUGCCUGAGGCUCUUUCACUGUUAGUUUUUUUUUAAUAAGUAGAAGGAUUACACUCUAAAAUAAUAAGUGUAGUAUAGUAAAUGUAUAAACCAGUAACAUAAUGGUUUAUUAUCAUUAUCAAGUAUUACAUACUGUACAAAAUUAUAUGUGCUACAAUUUUAUGUGACUGGCAGCACAGUAGGUUUGUUUAUACCAGCAUCACCACAAACACGUGAGUAAUAUGACACACCAUGAUAUUCUGACAACCAUGACAUCACUAGGCCAGGGAAUUUUUUAGGUCCAUUAUCAUCAUAGGCGACCACAGUUGUAUAUGUGAUGUGGUCUGUCAUUGACUAAAAUCUCAUUAUGACUGUAC